GUUUACUCUGAGGAAACAAUUACUGGGAAAGGUAAAACCACUGUGGGAGAGGGGAAAGGACCUCCUAUUCUCAUAUCAACUUAUAUUAAGAAUAAUGGCAGAGUUCUAUUGUUCCAGAGGGACUAAUUUGUCCCCUUGUUUCACUGAACGGUUGCCAGGAUCCCCUAGGUGGUUCAAAAAAGUGUGUCUCAGACCACCAUCUACUUAAGCCCAUUAAAAUUGAUGUGUCCUUCACUUCACGCAAACUCAUGUCUAAAGUCUUAAAUUUACAAAUAAAAUAUGGAUUAUUUGCAUCAUGAAGGAAUUCUUUACACAAAGAUAAACUGGAGGAUUUCUUUAAAUAACAAAUUACCCUGGUGUGUUUUACAAUAUGAUUUUAUGUGCCAUAAUUUGAUCUACAUGCAAUUUUUCUAGGAGCACAUCUUCAGGGUCAGGAGUGGAAUGCCUGUAUAUUCAUAAUGGUCGUCAAUGUGGGUAAAUGCCCCAGCAUACAUUGUAUUGGUGUCGGAUGACUUAUUGUAGUAGCAACUUCCUGACCACUACAGGGUGUUUAAGGAAGAUACCAGCCUCAUGGAAAGUUUUGUAUUGUAAAUGCUGAUACAGGGGAGGAAAACCCAGAGGAGAAGGAGCAAAGCAAAUUUUGUAUUAGCCUUAUUGAAAGAGAUAUUCUCCUGGUUGGCUUCUGUACUGACAGCCUAAGUAUAGUUAGUUGUUCCUAGCACUCUCUUGCUAUAACGCCUGCAGACAUAUCUUAUCUAAGUAAGAAAGUGAGAAUCCUGAAAAUAAUGGCUAAGGUUGCUAUUAGCCUCAAGCAGAGCAAUGUACAAGAGUACAUUGACAAAGAACCAUGCUAUACAAAUAACAGUCAUUAUUAUCCUCUUAUCCCAGUGUUAAUCAUAACAAAAACACCUGACUCCAGUUUGUAAAGUGAAUAAAUAUUGGGUUUUGUUUCUGCUUCCAAAAGAUGGCACUGAAAGUAAGUCUCCAACAGGAAAAUAUUUUCCAAAGUAUCAUGCUCCAACUUAAAAAAAAAAGGGAAAUAAAAAUGGGAAGCAUAUAGGCUCAUUAACCAAAAUGCUGAUGGAAUGUUACAAGAUUUACACAUCACUACAAAGCUGUCCUGUGAUGAGCAUGACUGGAGCCCUACUUCCAUCUGCUCUGGAACACGCAAAGAGCAAUGAGCCCAAUGAACUGUCUUGCAAGUGCUUCAGGCCUCUCAGUAUUUUGGGCACAGCUUAUCAGCAGGAAAAAUCAUUAAGCAGCAGGAAAGAGGAACAAAAAGCAUAAUAAGUGAAGGGGGGGUUACUGUGGCAAUGGGGAAAAUGCGAGGGGUGGGAAUUUACAUGAAGAAGCAGCCAAGUUUGAUGAGGGGAAUCAAAUGUGCAGUGAAGUGAGGGAAAGAAAGCCUGUGUAUGUGUGUGUGUGUGUGUGUGUGUGCGCACGCGCAUGCUCCAAAAGCCUCGGUAAAGGAAACUUGAAAGAAAAGAGAUUCAAUAUGAUAAAGAGGAAGAAUGAUACUAGCUAUAAGAGAACAAAACCAAUAAACACUUCAGAAAAGACCAAGCACUGGCUCUAAAGAUGCCACAGUGGUCAGAAACUUUCCAUUUAAUUUGCAAAACAAUGGGCCAGAAAGCUACUUUCUAUAGGCGGUUGCCACUUUAGGAGUAGAAUUCACUCUCAUGAGCCAUUAGGGUAUCAUUACUGAGCACAGUGAAAGUAGCUUGCUGCCAGCCUAGAGGAAGAAAGGCACCUUUCAUGAUUCUUUUCUUCCACCCAGUAGUGGUUAGCCAUUUGGCAAGAUGUAGUUCCUGUAUUUACAUGUUUUUCUAGGGUGUCAUAAUAUUAAUAAGUGAGCGUCAGUGACCAUGCCCAAAGGAGCUCACUGGUAGUAUUAUAAUCUUCUCUUUUGCUUCAUAUUUUGAGUCUAUAAUCACAUGGGGACCAUAUCCAGGACCUGAAGAACUUCUACCUUGACCCUCCAUUGUGAGACAAAUGAAAUCGCUGAUUUAUCAAGCAGGGACAAUGUGUACUUUAUUUCUUACCUAGGCUAUUAGAUAUGAAUGGGCAAGAAGUGAAGAUGACUUAUGCAAUAGAAUGAUUCUCCUUUUACCAUUUAUCUACAAUAAUCAGUCAUUUGGAAAUGUUAAUUUUUUCUUGUGUUAAAGCCAAAUGUCCCUAAAGUGUGACUGACCAUAAAGGCUCAUCUCUAUUUUUUUAAAAAAGAUUUUAUUUAUUUAUUCAGAGGGAGAGGUAGAGACACAGGCUGAGAAAGAAGCAGGCUCCAUGCAGGGAGCCCGAUGUGGGACUUGAUCCUGGGUCUCCAAGAUCACGCCCUGGGCCAAAGGCAGGUGCCAAACAGCUGAACCACCCAGGCGUCCCAAGGCUUAUCUCUGAAACCAUUAUUUACAUGACUUUUUUUAGCGAGCAUGAAAAAUACUCUCAUCUAAGAAAAAAAAUCAGAAGAGUUAUAGGGCUAGCAGAUGACUGGAGGACAUGAGGGAACUCUGGAAUGAUGGCAAAGCUGGACAGAAUUUAAUAUAAUAUAGAAUACUAUAUCUUGAUAAGGAUUAGGAUCACAUAGAUGUAUAUAAUGUUAAAACUCAGCAGAUUAAAAAACUCAGCAGAUAUACACUUAAUAUUUGUACAUUUUUUGCAUGCAAAUUUUACAUUAAAAUCUAUAAACAAAUAUUAAAUUUUAGCCAACAUAAAAUAUUAAAUAUUUUAUAAUAUUUUUAUAACAUAUAAAAUGUUUUAUAUUUUAUUUUUAUACAAUAUUAGAUAUUUUAUAAUAUUUUAUUUUUAUAAAAUAUUAAAUAUUUUAUGUUGAAAUACUUAGGGGAGAAAUAUUUUGAUGUCUGCAUCUUGAAAUGCAUAAAACGGUGGGUUUAUUGAUGGCUAGACAGAUGUGUAGAUGGAUAGAUAUGUGACAAAGCAAGCAUAGUAAAAUAUUAGUGAUAUAAUCCAGGAGGCGAGUAUGUGGGUGUUAACACUAAAAUGCUUUUGUUUGUUGUAAAUUUGAAAAAAAAUCAUAAUAAAAUGCUGGGAGUAAAAAAGAAGAAUUAUCUUUCUUUGAAAAUGACUCUGUACUGCAGACAACUCUAAACUCUAAAAUGAAAGAAUUUUGGGUUGAGACCUGGACUUUGAAUGCAAAUUUGAGACCAAAUCAGUAGUUCUCCACGUAAGCAAAGUUGGGUCUCCAGGAGAGAAAUUCUUUUUUUAAAAAAUAUAUCAAGCACUUGGUGUCCCAAUCCAUCUUGCCCAUGUCCUAUUCCUUUGUCCUUUUGGGACAUUCUUUUGUCGAUUACUUUUGGAGAAGGCAUUGAACUGAAAGGGCAGCAUGAGAAAUAUCAUUACUACAUUCAUGAGAAGUAUGUGGUAGCCAUAGUUAUAAAUGAUACAG
rnacentral:lncRNA from 1 species